rnacentral:lncRNA from 1 species
ACGAGGCUUGACCUUCUCGUCAAAUGCUUUCUUUACUCUCUGCUGAUAUAACUGACCAUGACACCUGGCAGUUAAUCGCUUCUUUUCGGUCGAAUUCAGCAUCAGUCAACUUGGGACUUUGAGGGUGCUAUUUCUCUUUUGUUUCUUUCUUUCUUUUUCUUUCUUUUGAUUUCUUUUGAUUUUGCACCCUCCUCUUUUUUUCGUUUUGUUUUUUUUCUUUUUGUUUUUUUUUUGUUUUUAAUGCCCUAGUUGGCUGUUCUGCUGAUUCUCAAGAUACAGCUGAGUGAUCCUCUUUUCUUGCUCAAGAAAUCGGGAAAUCUCG